rnacentral:rRNA from 1 species
UACGGGGGGGGUAAGCGUUGUUCGGAAUUACUGGGCGUAAAGGGCUCGUAGGCGGCCAACUAAGUCAUACGUGAAAUCCCUCAGCUUAACUGGGGAACUGCGUGUGAUACUGGAUGGCUUGGAUUUGGGAGAGGGAUGCGGAAUUCCAGGUGUAGCGGUGAAAUGCGUAGAUAUCGGGAGGAACACCUGUGGCGAAGGCGGCCCCCUGGUUGGAUACUGACGCUGAUACGCGAAAGCGUGGGGAGCAAACAGG